GAAAAUGUAUGUUGUACUUACACGAUGUAUGUCCAUCUGAGCAAGAGUCAUAUUCACCGGUGUUAAUUAGUUUUUGGUCUAAGUUAUCACGUUCAAUGCGAAAAUGAUCACGAAAUGAUCACGAUUGAAAUCAGAUCAUUUCUAUCGGUGGCUUUAAAGUCGGCCUAGGCUACCUUUUUUCAUAUAUAUGAAAAAUUCUCGUCCAUUUAUCGAACAAGAAAUAGGGCAAACACGAAGUGUGGAGAAAUGUUUCGUAUCGGAUUGCUCAGACGCCAGGUGACUUAAUUAGAGUCGUUUGGAUGGUUUAAAACACCUGGUUUUCUGAUUGCCGGCGUGCACUCACUGGAUGAGAGGAAACAUGGAGGCUGAACGUCUACAUACAGACACGAGAAGCUUUGAUGGUUCCUCGACGUCAGAGCUAGACAGGGCAUUCUUUGGGGAGCGGAAUGAACUGUCUACUUUGUCAUAUGGCCAUCUGUCUGGAUCACGAAUGUCAAACGACAUGGCAAAUGCAUCCUCAGCGGGAAGGCUGCACACUCCAACAUCUCUCUGUCAAGUGUAUGUGUCUUCUCCCUGCCACGAUGAUCUGAACGCCUCAACCAGG